GCACAGUGAUGAGCUUACACUUUGUCCGUGUUUAUGAACACAAUGAUAACAUUAAAAGUUCUGAGUCA